rnacentral:rRNA from 1 species
UACAGAGGGGGCAAGCGUUGUUCGGAAUUACUGGGCGUAAAGGGCGCGUAGGCGGCCUGCUAAGUCGAACGUGAAAUCCCCGAGCUCAACUCGGGAACUGCGUCCGAUACUGGAAGGCUUGAAUCCGGGAGAGGGAUGCGGAAUUCCAGGUGUAGCGGUGAAAUGCGUAGAUAUCGGGAGGAACACCAGUGGCGAAGGCGGCGAUCUGGGCAGUUACUGACGCUGAGGUGCGAAAGCAUGGGGAGCGAACAGG